rnacentral:rRNA from 1 species
AUACGUAGGGGGCGAGCGUUGUCCGGAAUGAUUGGGCGUAAAGGGCGCGUAGGCGGCCUGUUAAGUCUGGAGUGAAAGUCCUGCUUUCAAGGUGGGAAUUGCUUUGGAUACUGCCGCGCUUGAGUGCAGGAGAGGUUAUCGGAAUUCCCGGUGUAGCGGUGAAAUGCGUAGAGAUCGGGAGGAACACCAGUGGCGAAGGCGGGUAACUGGAAUGCAACUGACGCUGAGGCGCGAAAGUGUGGGGAGCAAACAGGAGUAGAUACCCUGGUAGUCCACACUGUAAACGAUGAAUGCUAGGUGUAGUAGGUAUCGACCCCUUCUGUGCCGCAGUAAACACAGUAAGCAUUCCGCCUGGGGAGUACGGUCGCAAGAUUAAAACGCAAAUGAAUUAACGGGG